rnacentral:rRNA from 1 species
GUAUAGAAAACCAUAUGCUAGAACUAGUAACAAGAAGAAGACCUUCUCCAAAAUACAACUAUGAGCCGGAAUGAACAAAUCGCCGGCAUUCACCGCCAAUGAUCCCACAGUAAUAACUAAACAAGAAAAUACUACUUCUUUUGGCGUCAACCUUACACCAGUGUAUUCCAGGAAAGAUUAAAAAAAGAGGAAGGAACUCGGCAAACCACUAACCCCGCCUGUUUACCAAAAACAUCGCCUCUUGACAAACAUAAGAGGUCCAGCCUGCCCAGUGACAAAGUUUAACGGCCGCGGUACCCUAACCGUGCGAAGGUAGCGCAAUCACUUGUUCUUUAAAUAAGGACUAGUAUGAACGGCACCACGAGGGUUAUACUGUCUCCCUCUUUUAAUCAGUGAAACUGACCUCCCCGUGAAGAGGCGGGGAUAAAACUAUAAGACGAGAAGACCCCAUGGAGCUUCAAACUCAGUACUAACUGCAUCACCUAUGCCAUCAUAAUCCAGCAGCCAUAGAAACUAGUUUUCGGUUGGGGUGACCGCGGAGCAAAACAAAACCUCCGCGAUGAAUGAGACAAAUACUCUAAUCAAAGAGCUACAACUCAAAGAAUCAACAAAUUGACACACUUGAUCCAAUUAAUUUUGAUCAACGAACCUAGUUACCCUGGGGAUAACAGCGCAAUCCACUUCAAGAGCCCCUAUCGACAAGUGGGUUUACGACCUCGAUGUUGGAUCAGGGUAUCCCAGUGGUGCAACCGCUACUAAAGGUUCGUUUGUUCAACGAUUAAAACCCUACGU